GGUGGCUCAAUGGUAGAGCGCUUGCCUUGCAGGCAGGAGGCCCUGGGUUCGAUUCCUCAGCACCA
rnacentral:tRNA from 1 species